CAGGUGGGAUGACCUGGGUAGGUUUCUCUAAGAAGGGGACAUUCAGGCUAAGAGUUGAUGGUGAUGAUGUAUGGCAAUAGAAACCAGUGGUCUCUGGGGCAGAAGAGUCUAGCAAAGGCCCUGAGGUGGGAGUAUGCUUGGACAGUACAGAGUGGGAGACUGGUAGGACCUGAUGCCGCAGAGGGGGCAGGAGCCCUUGGCCGAAGCAAGAAUGCUAAGGGUCCAGAAUAUUGAGUUCAGGAAGGCAUGACACUGGGGACCUCUGGGUAAUCGACCCCCUGCAUGCUUACAUGAGUCCAUUUCCUUCUGCAGGGCCUCCCAAACAGUCCGGGCCUCUCCCAGCUCCUCACUGGCUUUCUUUUUUGCUGUGCCAAAAAAAACCAAAACAAAACAAGAAACCAGACAACGUCUCAGGCUGUGCCUCAGUUACAGAGAAGACAUGUGACCUUUCUGCAACUUCUUCAUCAUUUCCAUCAAGUCUUCAAUUUUCUGUGAGGACUUGGCCUGCCCUGUGGAGACACAAUCAAACGCUUCAUAAUCCCAAAGGAGAGGGCCCAAGGAAGGGUCCAAUAACUUUGGUAUGGGACUGAGGGGGGCUCAGAUCUCCAGCCAGAGUGGUGCUCUUGCCCCUUGUCUUGAGGUAGACACUGAAUUCGAGAGGAGUCAGGCUAUUUCACGGUCAACUUUUCCUAAAGUGUGAAAUCAUACCACAGAGUUUCCCUUAAUAAAACUCAGGGCAAGGGGAGGGGUGAACUUUCCCUGCCUGUACUAUUCAAGACUGGGUCAAACCUCAUGAUGUAAUAAUGAAAGGAAAAGAAAGGAGGGGCAAAAAACAAAACAAAACUGGAAACAAGGGGUCAAAAGUCACUGUAACUGGCAGAUGGCUAAUUAACUAGAAAGUUCUAGAGUCUUAUUAAAAAAAACCACAAUGAAUAGUAAGAAAAUUUAAUAAGACACCAUGUCAUUUGCACAUAAAUACGAGCUAUUCUAUAUACAUAAUCAAUUACUCUGAAGCUUGACAGUAGAAUAUUUCAUAUUCACUUGUUUAUAACCAAUAUAGGCACUUAUUUUUAAUUCCUUAAUGAACUAGAUGUUGGCGAUUAUUAAUGGUACUAACGUCACAAGAGAGAUAAAUGGACAUUAUGAGCCACUUGAUGUAAAAAUACAAUAUAGGAUUCUUGCCAAAAACGAAGUCAGAGUAAUGCCUUUUAAUUCUCUUAAUCUAAAUACUAAUUUAGGGAAAAUACAGGAACACAGGACACAUGGGGAUGCAGUUAGCAACAUCCAGACUGGGAACCUUACAGGAAAAAAUCAGGAUUUUUAACAAAUUUUGGGGGGGGGGAGGAAAAAAGGAAGAUCCUUACAGAUGAAAGGGGAUUAAAAAGACAUAUACUCAAUACUCAAAAACGGACUGUAUUUAGAUCCUGAUUCGACAAGUGCACUUUAAAAAACAUUGGUGACAUAAUCAGAGAAAUUUGAAAACUGGGUUUUUGGUGACACAGGAACUAUUGUAGCUGUUAUUCAGAUAGGACAGUACUACUGUGGUUAGUUUUCUGGAAAGAGUACAGUACUAUAUUUUAGAGAUGUUAGAGAUACAUAUGGAAAUAUUUAUGGAUGAUAUGCUAUGAUGCCUGUACGGCUUCAAAAUGAAAUAGUGGAGUGGGUGAGGAUAAAAAGGAAACAAGGUUGGCCAAAAGCUUAUAACUGUCAAAGUGGAAAAGAUGGGCUCAUGGGGGUAAUUUUAUACUUUGUUUUUGCCUUUUGUGUAUGCUUAAAUUUUUCCAUAAUAAAAAGUUUUUAAAAAGCAA